rnacentral:rRNA from 1 species
UACGAAGGGGGCUAGCGUUGUUCGGAAUUACUGGGCGUAAAGCGCACGUAGGCGGAUAUUUAAGUCAGGGGUGAAAUCCCAGAGCUCAACUCUGGAACUGCCUUUGAUACUGGGUAUCUCGAGUAUGGAAGAGGUGAGUGGAAUUCCCAGUGUAGAGGUGAAAUUCGUAGAUAUUGGGAAGAACACCGGUGGCGAAGGCGGCUCACUGGUCCGAUACUGACGCUGAGGUGCGAAAGCGUGGGGAGCAAACAGG